rnacentral:rRNA from 1 species
CAGUAGCCGCGGGAAAACGAGGGGUGCAAGCGUUAUUCGGAUUGAUUGGGUGUAAAGGGUGUGCAGACGGCUUAUUAAGUCACUUGUUAAAUUCUUCGGCCUAACAGAAGGUCUGCAAGUGAUACUGAUGAGCUAGAGGGUGGAAGAGAGAAGUGGAAUUCUCGGAGUAGCGGUAAAAUGCGUAGAUCUCGAGAGGAACACCAAUGGCGAAGGCAGCUUCUUGGUCCAUUCCUGACGUUCAUACACGAAAGCGUGGGGAGCAAACAGGAUUAGAUACCCCCGUAGUCCCUGUCUCUUAUAC